UUGUAACAACCCGUUUUUUAUAGAUUUUUAAUUAAAUUUAUUAAAUAAUUAAAUUUCCUAAACAAGUGGUAAACUGUAAGCAUUAACCUUUCUGGCCCAAUAAACUUGAACAGUUGGUGUAGUUUUUAUAAUAAACAGCCAAAACCUCUUAAAACUAGUAUGCGCCUAUCUUUUACAAUAGAGACCAAGCGAAAUGGGGACGGAGUUGGCGGUCACGUAAGUAGAAAAAAGAAUAUAUCACGGUUUUUGGGCAAGUUGCGCGCUCUACUCUUUUUUUAUUUCUGUGCUGUCACCCCGUAUCCUAUUUGACUAAUGUUAGGAUUGCUAUUUCGUCGCAUGUAAGACCGCUGUGACGUAAACAUAAAAAAGUUGUUAUUGGCAGUAAGACAUCUAUUGCACAGAUAUAACUUGUAAAUAAAUGUACCGAGUUUUUAAAUGUUGCCUCCAAAACAUCUUGGGUCAAUAAUGUACCAAGGCACACAUAAGCCAUUGUUUUUAACAAUCGUUAGGUGAUUAUUGUGAUAUUUUUGGGUGAUUAAUGUGAUAUUUUUUAGUAAAAAUAAGAGCUUUCCAGGUGGGCUUGGCCAAAAUUCUUUUCUCUUCAAAUGAGGUGAAACAACAUUUAAAACAUUGUGUUUCCAAUUAAUGUUCGAGUGUAGAAUGGUGCGUUGGGUAAAGUUCCGUUAUUAGUGAUUACUUACACGCCAUUCCAGUAAGUAUGGAAUGAAAGUUCUAGAUAGCCAGAUUAGCCUUUCAUCAUCCAUUGCACGAAUUGGAUCUUUAGCAGUGCAAGUCACAAUAUUAAACCAUCUAAAGGACAAUUCAUAGUAAAGUUGUACUUGUUAUAGGUUAGUAAUUAGUAUGUUAAAAUGUAUAAUUGUCCAUUAGCAAAACUUACUCUGCUGUACCAUCUGCACCGCCAACAUCUUGCUUUAUGGCAGCACCAACUCUCGAGCUCCAAGGUUUGUUUUGCAAUUAAUACACUCAUCUGAAGUAUAAGAGUAAGUUGUUACAACUAUAACAACAUACUUGUGUAGUAACUACUUUGUUGUAAUAAUUUAGGUUCAUGUGAAAGGGUGCCAAAUUUGUCUUGUGAAGUGGGGUUUUGGAAUCCAAACUAAAUAAUUCUUGAAUGUUGGUCCACAGUAUAUCUUUGCCAUCCUUAUGCAUGUACUUGGUACCACCUGGCUUAGAAGAGUACAGAGAAUUUCUUGCUGUCUGCAAAUCAAUCAAAUGUAUUAUUACUGCUUCCCAAAACA